CAUAUAGCGUGGCCGAGCUAUGCUAGCACCUCCGUGUAGCCCACCGGCUCUGGAUUCGUUACAGUGUGACUGGUGCAGCGGCGCCUAUUACAAAAUAACUAUUAUAGUGUGAGCAUAUUACAAAAAAAAAAGUUCUAGCUAUGCCACUAUUUUCACUUGUGAGAAAGGCUGUACUUGAUGGACAUGUCUCUUUUCAACUUUGUAACUUAAAUUUGAAAGUCACUUUGAGUCACUUUAGUGAAUAACCCUGAAAUUAAAAAGACAUAACUAGAAAAGUUUUAAAGGAAAUUUAAAAAAAUAAAUACAAAUUUGUUAGUAGUCAGCACAGUACUUUUUUCAAAUAGUUUUGCUUAUUUUUUUAUUUGUGGGUCCAACAUUUUCCGUCUACUUUGGUUAUGUAACAGCUGAAGAAACAGAUUUUAGAAUCCCUCAUGUUAGCUGUUUAGUAAAUAAAUCUCAGAAUCUUCAAAUACAUACUGACAUACUAAUCAAUAUUCUCAUAUACAUGUAAAAAAAAAAAAAUAGACACUCUGAAGUAGACCUGGCCCUAAGGUCUGCUUAAUACAUAUUGGAGCUUAAUGUAGAAAGGCCAAAACAAAUAAGUAAAUGACAAAAUAACAGAGAUACAUAUGAAUUUUCCAUGUCCAGUACAAGUCCUGCAUGGACUUGACAUUGACAGUGGCUGGGAUCUUGUAACCACAAUGCAUAAUCCAUACAAAUGUGUAUUCCUAAUGCUUUAGUUGUCCUGUCUCUUGAUAGGAUGUGUCCCCCACCACUAGAAUGAGAAGCUAAGAAAAAAUAGCAUUAACUUACCUUUUUUUUUUUUUGGUGGAGGCACCCUUGCUUACUUCUCCUCCUCCCAUGGUGUCACAGAGGCAUUGCAUAGAUGAGCAUUGGCCUGUGCCUGCACAGCAAGCAUCAAGUUGCCCCAUAGAAAAACUUAGAAUCACUGCUUUCUUAUGUGGGCUGCAGUCAAGUGACCAAGUUUUACUAGGUUACUGAAGCACGAAGCACCUUUAGUGACUGUUCCUGUAACAGCCAUUGGUGGAGUGUUUAACCCUGCAAUCUGAACAUUGCAUUUUCUAAAAACUGCAAUAUUUUAAAUUGCAGGGUUAAGCCUACAAGAUCACAGCGCGCAGGCCACUUCAUGUAGAUAAAGUGGCCUGGGUGACUUUAGUGGUCUUUUAACACUGGCUGAGCAGGAGUCUAUAGGAUAUAUAAUUUGGUUAAAGUAUUAUUAUUCAUUAAAAAACAUAAAUGAAACUAGCUUAUAGAAACAGCCUUAAAGGAUCACUAUAGGGUCAGGAACACAAACAUAUAUUCCUGACCCUAUAGUGUUAUCACCACCAUCUAGCCCCCCUGGGCCCCUCAUGUCUCCAUAAAUAUAGUAAAUAUCUUACUGUAUUCAAGCCAGAAGCUGUAAAUCUGCAUGCUGAUAGACUCAGAAAAACAAGCAGUCUGCUGACAUGUGGUAGCCUGAUCCAAUCACAUUGCUUUCCCAUAGGAUGGGCUGAGACUGACAAAGAGGCAGACCAGGGGCAGAGCCAGCAUGAUUCAAACACAGCCCUGGCCAAUCAGCAUCUCCUCAUAGAGAUGAAUUGAAUCAAUGAAUCUCUAUGAGGAAAGUUCAGUGUCUGCAUGCAGAAGGAGGAGAUACUGAAUCACAGGAUGCUGUGCACAGUGCUGCGCUGAGCUCUGCUGACAGCAGAUCUGAGUGGAUGGAGGCAUAUUAUGCCUCCAUCAACUCCGAAGUCCCCCUGGUUCACUCUGAGUGAUUGCAACUGGAGGUGUUCCUAGCUUUCAAUGUAAACACUGUAUUUUCUCAGAAAGGCUGCAGGGAGCUAUAGUUCUCACCUGAACAACCUCAUUAAGCUGAAGUUGUUCAGGUGACUAUAGUGUCCCUUUAAAGUUUUUUUAGCUUCCUGAAUGGCUCAUUAAUGUUUUUCCAUAAUGUUUUGAUGGCUGCUGAUGUAAAUGUUAGGACUUAGGACUGUGUGACAUAGAGGAGAGAGGUGGGCAUAUAGCUGCAGUAAUGUUUGCAAAUCACUGCAGAUCUAAUUAAAGGACCACUCUAGGCACCCAGACCACUUCAGCUUAAUGAAGUGGUCUGGGUGCCAGGUCCAGCUAGGGUUAACCCAUUUUUUAAUAAACAU